UACGGGGGGGCAAGCGUUGUUCGGAAUUACUGGGCGUAAGGGCUCGUAGGUGGCCAACUAAGUCAGACGUGAAAUCCCUCGGCUUAACCGGGGAACUGCGUCUGAUACUGGAUGGCUUGAGUUUGGGAGAGGGAUGCGGAAUUCCAGGUGUAGCGGUGAAAUGCGUAGAUAUCUGGAGGAACACCGGUGGCGAAGGCGGCAUCCUGGACCAACACUGACACUGAGGAGCGAAAGCCAGGGGAGCAAACGGG
rnacentral:rRNA from 1 species